UACAAGCAGUGGGAGCCUCUUUUAUGGGGUGACUGCGUACCUUUUGUAUAAUGGGUCAGCGACUUAUAUUCUGUAGCAAGGUUAACCGAAUAGGGGAGCCGAAGGGAAACCGAGUCUUAACUGGGCGUUAAGUUGCAGGGUAUAGACCCGAAACCCGGUGAUCUAGCCAUGGGCAGGUUGAAGGUUGGGUAACACUAACUGGAGGACCGAACCGACUAAUGUUGAAAAAUUAGCGGAUGACUUGUGGCUGGGGGUGAAAGGCCAAUCAAACCGGGAGAUAGCUGGUUCUCCCCGAAAGCUAUUUAGGUAGCGCCUCGUGAAUUCAUCUCCGGGGGUAGAGCACUGUUUCGGCAAGGGGGUCAUCCCGACUUACCAACCCGAUGCAAACUGCGAAUACCGGAGAAUGUUAUCACGGGAGACACACGGCGGGUGCUAACGUCCGUCGUGAAGAGGGAAACAACCCAGACCGCCAGCUAAGGUCCCAAAGUCAUGGUUAAGUGGGAAACGAUGUGGGAAGGCCCAGACAGCCAGGAUGUUGGCUUAGAAGCAGCCAUCAUUUAAAGAAAGCGUAAUAGCUCACUGGUCGAGUCGGCCUGCGCGGAAGAUGUAACGGGGCUAAACCAUGCACCGAAGCUGCGGCAGCGACGCUUAUGCGUUGUUGGGUAGGGGAGCGUUCUGUAAGCCUGUGAAGGUGUACUGUGAGGUAUGCUGGAGGUAUCAGAAGUGCGAAUGCUGACAUAAGUAACGAUAAAGCGGGUGAAAAGCCCGCUCGCCGGAAGACCAAGGGUUCCUGUCCAACGUUAAUCGGGGCAGGGUGAGUCGACCCCUAAGGCGAGGCCGAAAGGCGUAGUCGAUGGGAAACAGGUUAAUAUUCCUGUACUUGGUGUUACUGCGAAGGGGGGACGGAGAAGGCUAUGUUGGCCGGGCGACGGUUGUCCCGGUUUAAGCGUGUAGGCUGGUUUUCCAGGCAAAUCCGGAAAAUCAAGGCUGAGGCGUGAUGACGAGGCACUACGGUGCUGAAGCAACAAAUGCCCUGCUUCCAGGAAAAGCCUCUAAGCAUCAGGUAACAUCAAAUCGUACCCCAAACCGACACAGGUGGUCAGGUAGAGAAUACCAAGGCGCUUGAGAGAACUCGGGUGAAGGAACUAGGCAAAAUGGUGCCGUAACUUCGGGAGAAGGCACGCUGAUAUGUAGGUGAAGCGACUUGCUCGUGGAGCUGAAAUCAGUCGAAGAUACCAGCUGGCUGCAACUGUUUAUUAAAAACACAGCACUGUGCAAACACGAAAGUGGACGUAUACGGUGUGACGCCUGCCCGGUGCCGGAAGGUUAAUUGAUGGGGUUAGCGGUAACGCGAAGCUCUUGAUCGAAGCCCCGGUAAACGGCGGCCGUAACUAUAACGGUCCUAAGGUAGCGAAAUUCCUUGUCGGGUAAGUUCCGACCUGCACGAAUGGCGUAAUGAUGGCCAGGCUGUCUCCACCCGAGACUCAGUGAAAUUGAACUCGCUGUGAAGAUGCAGUGUACCCGCGGCAAGACGGAAAGACCCCGUGAACCUUUACUAUAGCUUGACACUGAACAUUGAGCCUUGAUGUGUAGGAUAGGUGGGAGGCUUUGAAGUGUGGACGCCAGUCUGCAUGGAGCCGACCUUGAAAUACCACCCUUUAAUGUUUGAUGUUCUAACGUUGGCCCCUGAUCGGGGUUGCGGACAGUGUCUGGUGGGUAGUUUGACUGGGGCGGUCUCCUCCUAAAGAGUAACGGAGGAGCACGAAGGUUGGCUAAUCCUGGUCGGACAUCAGGAGGUUAGUGCAAUGGCAUAAGCCAGCUUGACUGCGAGCGUGACGGCGCGAGCAGGUGCGAAAGCAGGUCAUAGUGAUCCGGUGGUUCUGAAUGGAAGGGCCAUCGCUCAACGGAUAAAAGGUACUCCGGGGAUAACAGGCUGAUACCGCCCAAGAGUUCAUAUCGACGGCGGUGUUUGGCACCUCGAUGUCGGCUCAUCACAUCCUGGGGCUGAAGUAGGUCCCAAGGGUAUGGCUGUUCGCCAUUUAAAGUGGUACGCGAGCUGGGUUUAGAACGUCGUGAGACAGUUCGGUCCCUAUCUGCCGUGGGCGCUGGAGAACUGAGGGGGGCUGCUCCUAGUACGAGAGGACCGGAGUGGACGCAUCACUGGUGUUCGGGUUGUCAUGCCAAUGGCACUGCCCGGUAGCUAAAUGCGGAAGAGAUAAGUGCUGAAAGCAUCUAAGCACGAAACUUGCCCCGAGAUGAGUUCUCCCUGAGACUUUAAGUCUCCUGAAGGAACGUUGAAGACGACGACGUUGAUAGGCCGGGUGUGUAAGCGCAGCGAUGCGUUGAGCUAACCGGUACUAAUGAACCGUGAGG
rnacentral:rRNA from 1 species